GGAUAUGAAGAGAAGGCCAAUGGAGAAGUAUCAAAAAUUAAAAAUAAAUAUAAAAAAUAAACAAAAAGAAGAAUUUAGGAUCUCAAGAGAUGAAUAGAUUGGAUUAGAAAUCCAUAACACUAGCCUUGAGCAGGGAAUAGAAGAUACAAAGCUUAUACAAAUCUAAAGCAUUGGAUUUUUAAUGAGCAAGGAGGUGAUCUUCCCAUUAUGGCUAUGAAGAAGUUGCCUGAAGGAGACACCUUUAAAAAGAAAGAAAUUACUGAUCAAAAAGAGAGAAAGGAGAUCUUGGAU
rnacentral:lncRNA from 1 species